rnacentral:lncRNA from 1 species
UUCUUUUACAAUCCGGAAAAAUCUAUAUUUCGAAAUAUUCUAAACAUAUCCAACCUAUUAUAUUGUAAUGACGUCAGUGUUGGAAUUCCACACUACGUAGAAGCAGGAAUAUCCUUUACUGAUUAUUAAAAUCAUUCUCAGAAUUCAUGCACUUAUCUGUAAUUGUUUACAAUAAACAUAAUUAUGUUUGCUGUAGAUGAUUCAAACAUCAACAUGAUGCAAUGAUUUAAUUUCUAGGUCAACUUGCAAUUUAUAUAAUUACUAGGAUACAUGAGAUUGGGGAGAGAAACAACAGUUUUCAUUCUUUCUGUAAAAGUCUGUUUUGAGAAUCUUCCUCCAAUACAAGAGCACCUCAAUUGAUGAGUAAUUAUCCUCUAAAAAUAAAAGUUAAUGUAUCUGAACACUUAAAAUGUGACAUUUAGUAUGUGAUAAUUAGUCUUCCAUUUAAACCAAAUUUUGUGUACCAAC